rnacentral:rRNA from 1 species
UCCGGUGGCUUUGGCGGAGGGGUUACACCCGUUCCCAUCCCGAACACGGAAGUUAAGCCCUCCAGCGCCGAUGGUACUGCGUUGGCAACGACGUGGGAGAGUAGGUCGUCGCCGGGA